GUACUUAACUGGCAGGAGAGAAACCAUGAUCACAAAGGUGGUUUUCCCAGGGUGAGGCUUAUCCAUUGCACUCCAGAUGUGCUGACCCUUCUGAUUUCCCAAAUGUGGGAAACUCAGCUGCAUAAUUUGUCAUCCUGACAAAUUAUGUUUGUGCUCUUCCCCC